rnacentral:lncRNA from 1 species
AUGAGUGGUCCCGAGCGCAGUAGAACCCGAACCUGGUCGUUGGAUUCGGACCUUGACUCGCGUGCGUCCCAGACAGUGGGCAGUUCGUCAGGGGGUCUUGAGGAGGACAAGGAGGUCGCCUCGCAAGCUGUACUGUUCUUCAUCAAUGGUUCGAGGAGAGGUGCAGUGCACCUGUGCUCGAGUAUAGCCGAGAUACUGCGCGAGAAUCAACGUCUGCACAGGACCGUAGAGGUCCAAAGGGCCCGAAUAGAGGAGCUGAUGUGCUCUCUGUCCACUGCUCCGGCUGCUCCCGUGGGUCCCUCAGAUUCCAACAGAUCCCAGACCAACUCCACCUCUCCCUUCUCCUGCCUCCCCUCCGUCUCUCUCGCCGCCUCCUCCCCCUACCUCCCCUCUCCCCCAGCCAGUGUCUCCCCCAGUGUGUCCUCCUUAUACAGUUCUGGGAGGGGCAGCCUGUGCUCUAACACCACACCCCCCUGCCUCCCCCCUCUAUCCUUUAGCACCACACCCCCCUGCCUCCCUCCUCUGGUCCCCCUUCACAAUCUCACCCCUCAGAGGAGACAGACAGCAGUUCUGCCCUGUGUGAAAGAGUGUGAGAAGGAGGAUCUUGGAGAAAAGGAGAGGAGAGGAAAGGAAGGCAGGAGAGGAGAUGAGAGGGUGAAGAAGAGAGGGGGAGAAGGGAGACAAGAAGACAACAGUCUUAUUCCACCCUCUGUAGAAGAAGCUCUGGGAUCACAACCCUUACCCAUCAUGCCUCACUCCUCCCAUAGUGACAGCAUUCCCAGAGAAAGAGUCAGGAGGAGGGAGAAGGGCAACCUGUCGUCUGAGCAGGGUGGACAGACAUCGGACCGAAAACACACGCUGAAGAAAAGAGAGAAUGUCCUAAGGAGAAGUGCCUCAUGUGGACCUCUGAGGGGAGAGAUGGAGGAGACAAAAAAGGAGGAGAGGUGGUGUCUGGCCCCAGACUAUCCUGACUCCUCAUCCACAGUCCAAGCAGCAGGAGGGCUGGAACCCAGGGCAUUAACCACCAGGAAGAAGCACCGCCUGUGUGUGAAUGACCGUGUAGUGCUGGAGGGGAGGAGGAGAGGAGAGGAGAGGAGAAGAGGAGCUGUGAGGUUCAUCGGACCACUGGAAAACACUGUGUCUACAGACAUCUAUAUAGGAGUGGAAUUGGACACAGCCAGUGGAGAAAAUGAAGGCAGUCUCCAUGGUAACAGGUACUUCAGGUGUAAGCCCAACCAUGGAACAUUCACCACCAUCACGGGGAUCAGAAAGCUCUCUCGAUCAUCAAUCUCCAAGUCUAGAAGCUCCAAACCUCCAGAGGAGGGUGACUCUAGUGACUCUGGGCCGGGGAGCUCUGCAGUGGCAGUAGGGAGGAGCAGCCAGAGCGUUGGGAGUAGGAGCAGGAACGGGCUCAGAAGGACCUGGAACCGGAUGGACAUUAGAGCUCAGGUCCAUUCAGAGCCAGGAGGACCCAGAGACAAGACUACCGUGGAGAACCCUGGACUGGACUGA